UGGAGCAACAGCAUCAGGGGCAGCGGCCAGCUCUGGAGCCCUGGAUUCAGCCCCGCAGUACCUCCGCAGCUCUCUGUCCGCAGGGCCUGGAGGCUCCGGGGCGGG
rnacentral:pre_miRNA from 1 species